UGAUUUAUAGCAUAGUGAUUUUUGAGUGAUGGACUAUAACUCUGGAGACCAGGGUUCAAUUCCCAGCUGGGUCAA